rnacentral:lncRNA from 1 species
AACUGACUCGGAAGCAACUUCAAACAAAUCGAAGAUUUAUUAAGAGAGGUAAAGAGAGAGUUUUACAAGUUAGACGCAUGCAGAAUAACUUGAGGAUAUAAAUACCUUACAAAAAUUAUACCGUAGAAUAAGAAGAGGAUGAUCACUGUCGCUUGUUGUGAAAAUGUCCAAUUCUUAGUGUGACUUCUACAAAUGGAGAUUCGGUCAGUUCUCAACACUUUGUAGAGAAGUUUUCUUUAUCAAUCGAUAUAAUCUUCCUUUCACCGAUGAUUGAAGAAACCAACAAUAUUUCUUCUUAUUAUGUUCCUCUUUUUUGUAUCUCUUUGCUGAUCCACAGUUUUCUCUUCUCUUCUCUCGAUCUCAGCAGCAACUUUUACUACAUCUUUUUUCGUAUCAAGCACACCGAGCAACUCUCGGAGACGUCUGGUCUACUUCAAGACUCAGGAGCGACUUACCUUUUUCUCAGGGAGAAGUUUUAACCUCUCCCCUUCCUUGCUGGAGAUAAGGAAAACAAACCAAUAAUUUUUUUUCUGUGUUGUUUAUAAUUUAAUAAACAAUUUCUCGUCCUUUCACAUCGAGUUAUAGCGACACCUGCAUGUAAUAAGAUCGUUUUUGUCUCAAC